rnacentral:lncRNA from 1 species
CGGAUGUUGUACACUUUACAGCUUGAAGUUCUUCCGCUUUCAUUCACCCGCCAGCUACUUCAAAGCAAGCGAACUAACGAGUAAAUGUUUGUUUUUACAUUCGGGGUUUCCCUGAUAAGUAUUGAUAUCUAGCAUUCAUUUAAUUGCCGUCAUCAUUUGACGGCAACAAUGUUUCGUGGUUUUCACAAUCCCGGAGAACUUCACCGGGGCCCUGCUCCCUUAGGCCACCCAUCCCAUGUACAGCCACCCGGUCCCAGCUACGGAGGGCCCUUUGGCCCGCCACCCCACGUUCCACUGCCUGGACACUUUCCUCCUGGAUCUUGUCAUCCUUUCUUACCUCCCGGAUCGGGAAGUGAAUACCUCCACAGGCCAAUGAGGGAACAUUAUAUCAAUACUCCACACUGCAGCAGUUAUUCCAUUGACCGCAGCACAGUGAUCAGUCUGGGUAGUCAACAGAUUCUCCCACCAGACACACAGCAUCUUCAGAUGCCACAGUGGCCCACCAAUCCUUUGGAAUCAUGCCAAAGAGACAAGAGUGAGAACUUGACUGCUGGUGAAGAAUUCCUCAGAUGCCUUGCGGCUAAUAAGCCAGUCCCUGACUUCCUCAAAGGAGUCAACCUGUUGGACGCAGGGAAGGUAGUCAAGGCACCAGGUGUACCAGAAGACCGGGGUUAUGAGAGGCAGAGACUCCGGAGCAAAUCUCGCAGUCCAGCGAAGGAAAGCAGGGGCAGGAGCAAGAGCCGAGCAAAGAGCCAGGUAAGAAGCAAGAGCCGGGCAAGAAGCAAGAGCUGUCCGCGCAGCAGAAGUCGUACCCGAGGGAAAAGCCGGGCAAGAAGCAGGAGUCGCAGUCGUGGAAAGAGCCAGGUCAGAAGCAAGAGCAAGGCUCGUAGUAGGAGCCGGAGCCGAGGGAAAAGUCGGGCAAGGAGCAAAAGCAGAUCAAGGAGUAGGAGUCGCAGCUAUGGAAAGAGCCGGGGCAGGUUGGACCAUCAUUCAGACCACAGGGACAAAAGGAGCCCCAUUCGGAGCAGUAGCAGCAGGAUCAGUAAUCACUCCUCCGCACACAAUGACCUGCUCGAGGGCCUGAAACGGGUUAUGAACAGCAAGCAACUGGAGGACAGUAUGCCUUCCAUCAAGAAUGCCAUUCUCACAAUACAGGCCAAUAACUUUAGCAGAGAUAUCCAGAGCAACUGUCUUCCAUGUGGACCAGUCUUGGCCAGCAGACAGGAAUUUCUUCAAGCCUCAGAUGGGCCUAAGCCAGUCAGCAGACAGGAGGAGACCGACAGCAAUCUUCUCCCCCACGAGAGAGUGGGCUGUGACUUCUCCUGGCUGCAGGGCACCAGGGAGGUCGAGGAUGAGGAGAACUUCCUCUAUGGGAAUGAGGAUAACCAGUCAAAACAACGCCCUGCCACCCUGCCUUUUGCACAGUCCACAUCCAUUACCCAGCAGAGCGAUGCAGAGAUCUCCCCAGCAGGCCCACCCUACUAUCAAAGCCAGCCUCUGUUCGGGAACCAUGGUGAAGUCCAGGAGUUCAAGAUGCCUCCUCAACCGGUCCAGUCUAGUGUGAGGCCUGAGCAGAGGGUGCAGCCUGUUCCUGCUCCUGAUGUGAAGCCCACCCCCACUGUGAAGGAAUGUGAGGAGUUCAAGGCCAUGUUGAAGAACAUUGGGCUGAAUCUGGGCACAUCAGAGAUCAGUAAGAUGAUGGUCAAGCUGCAGCAACAGAAGGAGGGGAAGAUGCCAGAGCAGAAGAGGGAGGAGAAAGUGCCAUCACCAGCACCAGUGCUGCCUCUUCCUCUUGUAGUUGGGGCAUCACAGGAGCCCAGACUGGCCUCGCCAGCACCCGGGGCAGCACUCGGGACAGCACCAAUACGACAAGCAUUGGAGUCAUUACAGUUCAUUAUUAAAGCAACAAGGGAGAAAAGGGCCAAUAGUGAUCCACAUGAUGGCAACCAUUCCCAGAGGAAUUCAGACAAACAGAAGAGCAAAGAUGACGAGGAGAGUCAGAGGAGAUCGAGACAGGACCAAAUGAAAAGGAAAGACACUCUUGUGAAGGAACUGGAGGAAUUGCUAAAGCAGGAUGGGUCUACCUUUUUGAUUCCGGUCAUCGGGUUCUACUGUCAGAGGUGUGAGGAGUUCUUCGGAGACCUGACCACUGCUGAGGGCCAUGCUGCAACCCACCGGCGGAAUGAGCCUAGCAUGCAGCAGCAUGGAGACAGACGACCUGGAGAGGACAGAAGACACCCUAGCCAUUACAUCGGGCACCCCCUGGCUCCAGAGCGGAGGGACCAGAGAGACCCAAGAGAUCAGAGGUAUCGCAAACUAGACGAGGGCCCAAAGGGUUACAGGAACGACAGGGAGAAGAUCUACGUGAAAGAGGAACGACCUGGAAGCCCCAGGAUAAAGAUGACGGUGGUCCGCGGGCACACCCCACCAGGUCUGCAGAAGGCCAGGGGGAGAGAGGAGGGGAGGGUGGAUAAGGGCUCUUGUGCUGCUUCCUCUGGCCCUGCCAGUGGGAAAUAUGAUAGGGUCAAACUGGAGGAGGUGGAGACCAAAGGAAAGCCCAACGUGGAAGUAUGUGACAAAGAUAAAGGAGAAAGCAGUUCUAGCAGUGAUGACGAGAAAGACAAAUCUCCUAAAGGCAACAAAAAGAAAAAGAAGAAGGAGAAGAAGAAGAAGAAGAAGAAGAAGCAAAGGGGUUAGAAGUAAUAGCUGCUGUACUGCAUGUCCUGGUUUGAUUGUACUGUAUCUCUGGAGGACCUGGCCUUGGGUCAUUGUUUGGCAUCAUUGCAGCUGUUUUCAGAAGUUGGUGCUUUUAACAUUAGAAAGAAGCAGUGUUCCUCUGAUUUGUUCUCUCCUUUUGGGGUUGUCUUUUUUUUCCAACAAACUGUGUUCCUCUGUUGUAGUGGAUAACAGGACAUUUUCAUUGAAUGCUGUUGGAGGACAGGACGUUCCAGGGUGCAUAUGCAGCAUUUAUGAUGUCCAGAAUCAUUUUGCUGCCAGCUACUGAUCCUAUUGUUCAGACCUUUAGUUACUGUAGAUGUGCAUUAAAUAACCCUCCUUAUAUUGGGCCAUGUUUGUGUAUAUUUCACCCAGUACAACCUUGAUUUAGUGCUUCAAGUACUAUCAAAUGUACUUUUGCCAUUUAAAGGUCAACUGCCAUUUGAAGCGUGUGCUGUCUUUCUUCCUAAUGUUAAACCGUUGAGAUGGAAUUAUUCUGUAAUGAAGAAAUUUUUAUACAUUGUCCUCUUAUUUAGGUCUCAGCAAUUG